GCUCGACGACGCUGGCGGCGUGGAUAAGACAUGCAAGUCGAACGCUAACAUUCGGGUAGCAAUAUUCGGGUGUUGGAGUGGCGCAAGGGUGCUUAACACGUGGGUAAUUUGCCGCGAAGCCUGGAAUAACUCGCUGAAAGGCGAGCUAAUGCCGGAUGUGACUCUUGGGGAGCAUUCCCUGGGAUUCAAAGUUGGGGAUCGAAAGACCUGACGCUUUGCGAUAAGCCCGCGGCCUAUCAGCUAGUUGGUGAGGUAAAGGCUCACCAAGGCUAAGACGGGUAGCUGGUCUGAGAGGACGACCAGCCACACUGGAACUGAGACACGGUCCAGACACCUACGGGUGGCAGCAGUCGAGAAUUUUUCACAAUGGGGGAAACCCUGAUGGAGCGACGCCGCGUGGGGGAUGAAUGGCUUCGGCCCGUAAACCCCUGUCAUUUGCGAACAAUGCUUUGGUAUGAACAAUAUCAAAGUUGAUAGUAGCAGAAGAGGAAGAGACGGCUAACUCUGUGCCAGCAGCCGCGGUAAUACAGAGGUCUCAAGCGUUGUUCGGAUUCACUGGGCGUAAAGGGUGCGUAGGCGGUCAGGUAAGUCUAAAGUGAAAGCUCCGGGCUUAACCCGGAAAUGGCUUUGGAUACUAUCUGGCUAGAGGGCCGGAGAGGGGACUGGAAUUCUCGGUGUAGCAGUGAAAUGCGUAGAUAUCGAGAGGAACACCAGUGGCGAAAGCGAGUCCCUGGACGGCAUCUGACGCUGAGGCACGAAAGCCAGGGUAGCAAACGGGAUUAGAUACCCCGGUAGUCC
rnacentral:rRNA from 1 species